GCCUGUAUUCCCAGCACUUGGGGAAGCCAAGGCGGGCAGAUCACCUGAGGUCAGGAGUUCGAUACCAGCCCAGACAACAUGUGAAACCAUGUCUCUACUAAAAAUACAAAAAAAAAAUUAGCUGGGUAUGGUGGCAGGCACCUAUAAUCCCAGCCAUUCGGGAGGCUGAGGAAGCUGAGGCAGGAGAAUCACUUGAACCUGGAAGGCAGAGGUUGCAGUGAGCCAAGAUCACACCAUUGCACUCCAGCCUGGAUGACAGAGCAAGACUCCGUCUCAAUAAAUAGGCUCAGCAAACUCCCGAGUUCCUGUGCUGCUGAAGAAGGCAUUGAGCAGAAUACAGAAAGACUGGGUAUAGCUUGGGUUUGAGAUGAAACACCAGCAAUGGAAGGUGAGUCUGAAUUUGUAAGAAACUAUCCACCAGUUACAAAUGAAAUCAGAGGUGGGCAAAAAUGGAUGCAUGCAAGGACCAAAGGCAUCUCCUACAAAUACAAGAAGUUACAUGUGAAAACAAGACUUCCCAGGCCUUUCCAAGAAAUAAAGAGAAGCUACUCUUAUUCUGAUCUUCCCCAAAUA